rnacentral:rRNA from 1 species
UUAAGCGACUAAGCGUACACGGUGGAUGCCCUGGCAGUCAGAGGCGAUGAAGGACGUGCUAAUCUGCGAUAAGCGCCGGUAAGGUGAUAUGAACCGUUAUAACCGGCGAUUUCCGAAUGGGGAAACCCAGUGUGACUCGUCACACUAUCAUUAACUGAAUCCAUAGGUUAAUGAGGCGAACCGGGGGAACUGAAACAUCUAAGUACCCCGAGGAAAAGAAAUCAACCGAGAUUCCCCCAGUAGCGGCGAGCGAACGGGGAGGAGCCCAGAGCCUGAAUCAGCAUGUGUGUUAGUGGAAGCGUCUGGAAAGGCGCGCGAUACAGGGUGACAGCCCCGUACACAAAAGCGCAUGUGCUGUGAGCUCGAUGAGUAGGGCGGGACACGUGGUAUCCUGUCUGAAUAUGGGGGGACCAUCCUCCAAGGCUAAAUACUCCUGACUGACCGAUAGUGAACCAGUACCGUGAGGGAAAGGCGAAAAGAACCCCGGCGAGGGGAGUGAAAAAGAACCUGAAACCGUGUACGUACAAGCAGUGGGAGCCCCACCACCAAAGCAUUCUCUGGUGUUGAAGGCCCUGCAAAGCAGCAUCGCGGUGGCGGAGCGUCGUUUGCGACGCCCAACACACAAAACAAGCGGUGAGUGCUUUGGGGUGGGGUGACUGCGUACCUUUUGUAUAAUGGGUCAGCGACUUAUAUUCUGUAGCAAGGUUAACCGAAUAGGGGAGCCGGAGGGAAACCGAGUCUUAACCGGGCGUUAAGUUGCAGGGUAUAGACCCGAAACCCGGUGAUCUAGCCAUGGGCAGGUUGAAGGUUGGGUAACACUAACUGGAGGACCGAACCGACUAAUGUUGAAAAAUUAGCGGAUGACCUGUGGCUGGGGGUGAAAGGCCAAUCAAACCGGGAGAUAGCUGGUUCUCCCCGAAAGCUAUUUAGGUAGCGCCUCGUGAAUUCAUCUCCGGGGGUAGAGCACUGUUUCGGCUAGGGGGCCAUCCCGGCUUACCAACCCGAUGCAAACUGCGAAUACCGGAGAAUGUUAUCACGGGAGACACACGGCGGGUGCUAACGUCCGUCGUGAAGAGGGAAACAACCCAGACCGCCAGCUAAGGUCCCAAAGUCAUGGUUAAGUGGGAAACGAUGUGGGAAGGCCCAGACAGCCAGGAUGUUGGCUUAGAAGCAGCCAUCAUUUAAAGAAAGCGUAAUAGCUCACUGGUCGAGUCGGCCUGCGCGGAAGAUGUAACGGGGCUAAACCAUGCACCGAAGCUGCGGCAGCGAACGUAUCACCCAAGACAACUUUACGGAGUUGACGAUUGACGGAGCGAAGCGACGUCAAAGCGUUCAUUAAAGUCGAGUUGGCUUAGGGAUACGUUCGUUGGGUAGGGGAGCGUUCUGUAAGCCUGUGAAGGUGUGUCGUGAGGCAUGCUGGAGGUAUCAGAAGUGCGAAUGCUGACAUAAGUAACGAUAAAGCGGGUGAAAAGCCCGCUCGCCGGAAGACCAAGGGUUCCUGUCCAACGUUAAUCGGGGCAGGGUGAGUCGACCCCUAAGGCGAGGCCGAAAGGCGUAGUCGAUGGGAAACGGGUUAAUAUUCCCGUACUUGGUGUUACUGCGAAGGGGGGACGGAGAAGGCUAUGUUGGCCGGGCGACGGUUGUCCCGGUUUAAGCGUGUAGGUGUGUGUUCCAGGUAAAUCCGGUUCACUUUAACACUGAGGCGUGACGACGAGGCACUACGGUGCUGAAGCAACAAAUGCCCUGCUUCCAGGAAAAGCCUCUAAGCAUCAGGUAACAUCAAAUCGUACCCCAAACCGACACAGGUGGUCAGGUAGAGAAUACCAAGGCGCUUGAGAGAACUCGGGUGAAGGAACUAGGCAAAAUGGUGCCGUAACUUCGGGAGAAGGCACGCUGACAUGUAGGUGAAGUGAUUUACUCAUGGAGCUGAAGUCAGUCGAAGAUACCAGCUGGCUGCAACUGUUUAUUAAAAACACAGCACUGUGCAAACACGAAAGUGGACGUAUACGGUGUGACGCCUGCCCGGUGCCGGAAGGUUAAUUGAUGGGGUCAGCGCAAGCGAAGCUCCUGAUCGAAGCCCCGGUAAACGGCGGCCGUAACUAUAACGGUCCUAAGGUAGCGAAAUUCCUUGUCGGGUAAGUUCCGACCUGCACGAAUGGCGUAAUGAUGGCCAGGCUGUCUCCACCCGAGACUCAGUGAAAUUGAACUCGCUGUGAAGAUGCAGUGUACCCGCGGCAAGACGGAAAGACCCCGUGAACCUUUACUAUAGCUUGACACUGAACAUUGAGCCUUGAUGUGUAGGAUAGGUGGGAGGCUUUGAAGCGUGGACGCCAGUCUGCGUGGAGCCGACCUUGAAAUACCACCCUUUAAUGUUUGAUGUUCUAACGUGGACCCGUGAUCCGGGUUGCGGACAGUGUCUGGUGGGUAGUUUGACUGGGGCGGUCUCCUCCUAAAGAGUAACGGAGGAGCACGAAGGUUGGCUAAUCCUGGUCGGACAUCAGGAGGUUAGUGCAAUGGCAUAAGCCAGCUUGACUGCGAGCGUGACGGCGCGAGCAGGUGCGAAAGCAGGUCAUAGUGAUCCGGUGGUUCUGAAUGGAAGGGCCAUCGCUCAACGGAUAAAAGGUACUCCGGGGAUAACAGGCUGAUACCGCCCAAGAGUUCAUAUCGACGGCGGUGUUUGGCACCUCGAUGUCGGCUCAUCACAUCCUGGGGCUGAAGUAGGUCCCAAGGGUAUGGCUGUUCGCCAUUUAAAGUGGUACGCGAGCUGGGUUUAGAACGUCGUGAGACAGUUCGGUCCCUAUCUGCCGUGGGCGCUGGAGAACUGAGGGGGGCUGCUCCUAGUACGAGAGGACCGGAGUGGACGCAUCACUGGUGUUCGGGUUGUCAUGCCAAUGGCACUGCCCGGUAGCUAAAUGCGGAAGAGAUAAGUGCUGAAAGCAUCUAAGCACGAAACUUGCCCCGAGAUGAGUUCUCCCUGAGACUUUAAGUCUCCUGAAGGAACGUUGAAGACGACGACGUUGAUAGGCCGGGUGUGUAAGCGCAGCGAUGCGUUGAGCUAACCGGUACUAAUGAACCGUGAGGCUUAACCUU